rnacentral:rRNA from 1 species
UACGUAGGGUGCAAGCGUUGUCCGGAAUUAUUGGGCGUAAAGAGCUCGUAGGCGGUCUGUCGCGUCGGCUGUGAAAACCCGGAGCUCAACUCCGGGCCUGCAGUCGAUACGGGCAGACUGGAGUUCGGCAGGGGAGACUGGAAUUCCUGGUGUAGCGGUGAAAUGCGCAGAGUAUCAGGAGGAACACCGGUGGCGAAGGCGGGUCUCCUGGGC